rnacentral:rRNA from 1 species
UGCCAGCCGCCGCGGUAAUACGGAGGGUGCGAGCGUUGUUCGGAAUUAUUGGGCGUAAAGCGCGUGUAGGCGGUCUGUUAAGUCUGAUGUGAAAGCCCGGGGCUCAACCCCGGGAGGCCGGUCGAAACUGUUGUGACUAGAGUUCGGUAGAGGUGAGUGGAAUUCCCGGUGUAGCGGUGGAAUGCGCAGAUAUCGGGAGGAACACCAUUAGCGAAGGCGGCUCACUGGGCCGAUACUGACGCUGAGGAGCGAAAGCGUGGGGAGCAAACAGGAUUAGAUA